AGUGCCGGUGGUCCAUGUGCUGCCGGAUGAGGGUGUGCGGGGCCACCGUCCCAUACUUGUCCACCUCGGGCAUGUUCAUGUCGUCGAUGAAGUAGACGAGCUUCUUAGUGCCUGGCGGCCCGUAGUUCCUCCCCGAUUUCUUCUCCAGCGGCUUCUCCAGCACCCCUAGAGAGGGCAGAGGGUCAGCUGCCCGCCUGCGCCUCCUGAGCCAGAGCCUGUUAGGUAGGGAGGGGCGCUACCUGCUUCCCCGGAGGACAGAAGGUGGGACCUGGCUGGGAUCCAAGUUUACCAAAGGUACCUGCCCUGGGAGUGGCCCUUGAGGGGGCACCGGGUACAGCCCCAGGA
rnacentral:lncRNA from 1 species